CCUACGGGAGGCAGCAGUGGGGAAUAUUGGACAAUGGGGGGAACCCUGAACCAGCGACGCCGCGUGAGUGAAGAAGUAUUUCGGUAUGUAAAGCUCUAUCAGCAAGGAAGUAAAAAAUGACGGUACCUGACUAAGAAGCCCCGGCUAACUACGUGCUAGCAGCAGCGGUAAUACGGAGGGGGCAGGCGUUAUCCGGAUUUACUGGGUGUAAAGGGAGCGUAGACGGCGAUGCAAGUCUGAAGUGAAAGGCGGGGGCCCAACCCCCGGACUGCUUUUGAAACUGUAUGUCUGGAGUGCAGGGGAGGUAAGUGGAAUUCGUGGUGUAGCGGUGAAAUGCUUAGAUAUUAGGAGGAACACCAGUGGCGAAGGCGGCUUACUGGACUGUAACUGACGUUGAGGCUCGAAAGCGUGGGGAGCAAACAGGAUUAGAUACCCUUGUAGUC
rnacentral:rRNA from 1 species